rnacentral:sRNA from 1 species
UAUAUAAUUUAAUGAUAUACACUCCAUCUUAUUGUUAGUUUUUUAUAUAAUUUAAUUAUAUACACUCCAUCUUCUUGUUAGUUUUAUAUU